rnacentral:rRNA from 1 species
AGAGUUUGAUUCUGGCUCAGGAUGAACGCUGGCGGCAUGCUUAACACAUGCAAGUCGAACGAGGGUAGCAAUACCCGAGUGGCGGACGGGUGAGUAACGCGUGAACAAUCUGCCUAUGUCAGGGGGAUAACGUUGAGAAAUCGACGCUAAUACCGCAUAAGACCACGGAUGGGCAUCCAUCGGGGGUAAAAGAAUUAUCGGACAUAGAUGAGUUCGCGUCCCAUUAGGUAGUUGGUGAGGUAACGGCCCACCAAGCCGACGAUGGGUAGCCGACCUGAGAGGGUGAUCGGCCACAUUGGAACUGAGAGACGGUCCAGACUCCUACGGGAGGCAGCAGUGGGGAAUAUUGGGCAAUGGAGGCAACUCUGACCCAGCAAUGCCGCGUGAGUGAAGAAGGUUUUCGGAUUGUAAAACUCUUUAAGCAGGGACGAAGAAAGUGACGGUACCUGCAGAAUAAGCAUCGGCUAACUACGUGCCAGCAGCCGCGGUAAUACGUAGGAUGCAAGCGUUAUCCGGAUUUACUGGGUGUAAAGGGAGCGCAGGCGGGACUGCAAGUUGGAUGUGAAAUACCGUGGCUUAACCACGGAACUGCAUCCAAAACUGUAGUUCUUGAGUGAAGUAGAGGCAAGCGGAAUUCCGAGUGUAGCGGUGAAAUGCGUAGAUAUUCGGAGGAACACCGGUGGCGAAGGCGGCCAACUGGGCUUUUACUGACGCUGAGGCUCGAAAGUGUGGGGAGCAAACAGGAUUAGAUACCCUGAUCUUGCUUCUGUAUAACGCAUGGCAGCAGGACUGUCACCGUCCACCGAACCAAAGUUUCCUUGUCCAUCCACCAACGUAUAGCGCAUAGACCAUGUCUGUGCCAUACGAACCAUUGCGAAAUAAACAGACGAGUCACCGUGUGGAUGGUAUUUACCUAAAACUUCACCAACAAUUCUCGCAGAUUUUUUAUAAGGUUUGUCGGAUGUAUUACCCAAUUCAUUCAUUCCAAACAAAAUACGACGAUGAAC